AAGUGCGGUCAUACCAGCACUAAUGCAUCGGAUCCCAUCAGAACUCCUCAGGUAAGCGUGCUUGGAUAAGAGCUGUACUAGGAUGGGUGACCGCUUGGGAAGUCCUCGUGUUGCACCCC
rfam:Gossypium raimondii chromosome 6, whole genome shotgun sequence.